rnacentral:rRNA from 1 species
AGCAGCCGCGGUAAUUCCAGCUCCAAUAGCGUAUAUUAAAGUUGUUGCAGUUAAAAAGCUCGUAGUUGAAUUUCGGGAUCAAUUAAUUGGUCGUGCCUCUGGUACGUACUGAUUUUAUUGGUUUCUCCCUUCUGACGAACCAUGAUGUCAUUAAUUUGGUGUCGUGGAGAAUCAGGACUGUUACUUUGAAAAAAUUAGAGUGUUUAAAGCAAGCUAACGCUUGAAUACAUUAGCAUGGAAUAAUGAAAUAGGACGUUUGAUCCUAUUUUGUUGGUUUCUAGGAUCGACGUAAUGAUUAAUAGGGAUAGUUGGGGGCAUUAGUAUUCAAUUGUCAGAGGUGAAAUUCUUGGAUUUAUUGAAGACUUAACUACUGCGAAAGCAUUUGCCAAGGAUGUUUUCAUUAAUCAAGAACGAAAGUUAGGGGAUCGAAGACGAUCAGAUACCGUCGUAGUCUUAACCAUAAACUAUGCCGACUAGGGAUCGGAUGAUGUUAAUUUUUAAUGACUCAUUCGGCGCCUUA